AAAAAAGUGUUUGACCCAUGUUGCAACAGGAAUUUGUGUGGAAAAAUUGUUUUGAAUGUCAGUUUAGCUGAUGUUCCAGCAGAAAAAUAUUUUGACUCUUUUUUUAAUGUCCGGAAAAUUACCGCUCGCCCACAUUUUGGGGGGGAAAAUAGGGCCCCCGAAACAAAAAUUUAUAGGCCCUGUAUAUAAUGUUUCAAAAACUUCCAUUUUCGAGAAUUUCGCAGUAAUUUAUUAUUAUUUUCAAUCCAAUAUUUUUUGGGGGUGGGCGAAAGCUAUCGCCCCUCUUAUAAAAUAUUGGGGGAGCGCCACCUCCCCCCCUCUCCUCCCGCAUCCUACGCCCCUGCUCCAAAUU